rnacentral:RNase_P_RNA from 1 species
UCAGACGGCUGGAUGGCCGCCAUGUCCGGUUUACCGGCAUGGAGGAAAGUCCGGGCUCCAGGAAAACACGGUGCCGGGUAACGCCCGGCGGGGGCGACCCCAGGGACAGUGCCACAGAAAGCAAACCGCCGGCGGGCUUCGGCCUCCGGCAAGGGUGAAAGGGUGCGGUAAGAGCGCACCGCGCCGCCGGCAACGGGGGCGGCAGGGUAAACCCCACCGGGAGCAAAACCGAAUAGGGACUGCGCGGAGCGUCAGCUCCGGGCCCCGUUUUCCGGGCCGGCAGUCCGGGUUGGUUGCAUGAAGUCCGCCGCGAGGCUGGCUCAAGAUGAAUGGUCAUCGCAUGGGGCUUGCCCCAUGUACAGAACCCGGCUUACAGGCCGUCUGACGCC